rnacentral:lncRNA from 1 species
GAAGACGAAGCGUCGCGUACCUGGAUUGGUCAGGAUCGGAUGGGCCGGGGGGCCUCCGAGGGAGCCCAGGAUCCGGUCCGUCGAGGGGCAGGGUGAAAGUCAAGGCCCGACGCGGACGACGAGGUGGGGGAGAAACGCCCGGCGGUGUCCAACGGCCGAACGAUACACGCGGAACGUGGCGGGGGUGUCCAGACGGGCCCACAGACGGACCCGACCAACGAGACGACGUAACGAGCCGACCCCCGAGUCGGCGAAAGGGGGACCCGUCGCGAGGAGCGAGGGCAGAGCUCGAGAAGGAUGCGGGCAACGUCGACAGAAGACGCCGAGUAGCGCGAAUCUGCACGGACGUGCGAAGACAGUCAAAACGAAGAAAAGAAACAAAGGCAUUUCAUUAAAUUAAAGCAAGUGUUACAAUUGUCGGCGGUACGGCUGGAAAAAAUACACAACACAUAACAACAGCUAACACGGAUACAAAAAAGAAAUAGGAGAGAAGAAGAACGAGGCGCGCCCCAGACGUCGUCCCGC